GAAAUGUGAUAAGUAAUGUGAAUUGCAGAAUUCAGUGAAUCAUCGAAUCUUUGAACGCACAUUGCGCCCGCCAGUAUUCUGGCGGGCAUGCCUGUUCGAGCGUCAUUUCAACCAUCAAGCCCCCGGCUUGUGUUGGGGACCUGCGGCUGCCCGCAGGCCCUGAAAAACAGUGGCGGGCUCGCUGUCACACCGAGCGUAGUAGCAUACAUUCUCGCUCAGGGCGUGCUGCGGGUUCCGGCCGUUAAACGACCUUCAUAACCCAAGGUUGACCUCGGAUCAGGUAGGAAGACCCGCUGAACUUAAGC
rnacentral:misc_RNA from 1 species